UACGAAGGGGGCUAGCGUUGCUCGGAAUGACUGGGCGUAAAGGGCGCGUAGGCGGAGCGUACAGUCAGACGUGAAAUUCCCGGGCUCAACCUGGGGGCUGCGUUUGAUACGUGCGUUCUUGAGUAUGGAAGAGGGUCGUGGAAUUCCCGGUGUAGAGGUGAAAUUCGUAGAUAUUGGGAAGAACACCGGUGGCGAAGGCGGCGACCUGGUCCAUUACUGACGCUGAGGCGCGAAAGCGUGGGGAGCAAACAGG
rnacentral:rRNA from 1 species